CGAAUUAGUUAGAACGUUAAUUAUUCCGAGAGCUUUGAGAAACUCGAGUCUUGAUCUUUAAAUUAAAUCUCUUCCGCAUCAAGGAAUUAAUUAACGCAUUAAAGGAAUGAAUCGUUCGUUUCGGAAUAUUCUGUACGCAACUUCACACCGAGAAGCUGUAAUCGAAAUGGCGCAACAGCAGCGAAAGUAGAUGCGGACGGUGCAAGCGCAGACGCGCGAGCGGCUUAGUGAACGGGCUUGCUUACAAGGGUUGGGUAAUCAAUGGCAUGGCAGGGCGCUUAAGACCAUCUCUAACCACAACACGGUGCAAUACGUGGUGGAUGUGCACGCAGGAACCACCGUUUUUCAUUCUCCUCCUCUCAGGGUAACUCAAAGAGUAUCGUCAGUCUGCGUAUAAAUAUAAAAGUAAAUAUUCUUUGAAAUAAAAUCAUACAGUUCUCGUGUGUAAACAGUUCGCGAUCAGCUGCAUGACACCCUUCCAGCAAUGAUGAAUCGUGCGGCAGGCUAAUUAUGUCGCGAGCUCCUUAUUAAAUAAAUGUUAAUUGACGAGUGAAAAUUCGAUUGUCGCGAAUCCGCGGUCCACAGCGAUGACACUUUGUGACAUUGAUCUCGCGUGAUAAAUUGAGUUAAGCGUAAGAAAUCGGUCGGGAUCGCCCGAAGUGGACCAUGAAUCAUGGAUACGUCGCAGGUCGAAAACGACGCAACUUCGGAAGAAAAACGUAAGGAAGAGCACGCUUGAGCUAUGGGUAGCGGAGGAGUUGGUGAAGUAUCAACGAUAUUUCACCCCCGACGAUUGCGUCCAUCAAAUUUAACCUUCAGCGAAGAUCAGCAGAUUCAUGGGCCGUUUGUCACCCCUAUUCAGGUUGCACUCCGUGCUUCAGCAUGCGAUCAACAGCAGGGAUGCACCGAUGGUUGCGGCGACUCCGCCUCGAGCUGUCGCACUUUGGAGACAACCGAAAGUGCCACAGGAAGCGGCGGCGGAGGCGGCGAUAGUGGGACCGGAGGUGUCCAAGUUCAUUCGACAGGUCAAACUCAAUCGUCAACUCAUGUGACGCCGAUUCCAACUCCGGUUGCUCAACAACCACACCAUUCAAGCUCAAUUGUGGCCUGUUUCUCCUCUUUCUGCGCGAAAAGCGCAAAAAAGAUAUACUUCGGAAUAUGUGUGACAUUAUGCGUAACCGCGAGUUGGGUCGGUGCGACCCAUUGCAUUAAGUAUUUGUACUUUCAUAAGUCAGACGAAAUCCUGCAGACGAUCGCUUCCGCGAAUUCCUCCUCGAACGGACUUCAUCAUCAACAUAUCAUCCCUCCGUACAAUGCACCCUUCUUCACGACGUGGUUCUGCACCAACUGGGAGGUCCUGUACUUUCCGGUAUACUUCAUCUGUCGCGCUGUCAGGACCAAGUGCGUCACCCCUUCCGAGAUAAUUGCUGAGAGCUUUCGCGGUUUUCGCGACAAGGGCUUCACAGGUGGUCGAUUUUUAAUUAGAUGCAGUCUCUUCUGCGCCCUGUGGGUUAUCACGAAUUAUUUGUACAUACUUUCGCUGAGGAUAUUGUUAAGUACGGACGUAAUGGCGCUAUUUGCGACCAACGUCUCGUGUGUCUACCUGCUCUCAUGGGUCAUCCUUCACGAACAAUUCGUGGGUGUGAGGAUAGUCGCAGUAAUCCUUUGCAAUACCGGUAUCGCGUUGUUAGCUUAUAUGGAUGGCAUAACUGGAAGUCCAACAUUGGGAGGUGUUGUUUUAGCUACAGCAGCGGCGGCUGGUUCUGCCGUUUACAAAGUUCUUUUUAAGAAAGUGAUAGGAGAAACCACAUUUGGCCAAAUGUCUCUAUUUUUUUCUCUUAUUGGUUUGUGCAACGCCACUCUAUUAUGGCCGGUUUGUCUCACCCUUUACUUUUCCGGAGUGGAAACCAUGUAUUGGGCAAGAUUUCCGUGGGCAGCAUUACUUUCCGCGAGCAUUCUCCACUUAGUUGCAAAUAUGAUUGGCAAUUUCAGCAUCGCGUUCACUUACGACUUGUUUAUCACUCUUGGAUUAAUAACAGCUGUACCUGUGUCCGCUGCUUUGGACAUUAUUUUCUACGGAGCGUGCUUCGUAGGUAUGAAAUUAGCGGGAUUGAUCUUCAUAGCAGUCGGUUUCUUCCUCGUCAUGUUUCCGGAUAAUUGGCCAGAUUACAUAACGAAGAUUCUCCGGUAUGUUUCUUUAAUUCGUAUUCCCUCCGUAUAUAAGUUCUGUGGUAUGCACAUUUAAUUCGGAGUUUAUUUAUUUCCUCUUUUAGUCUAUAAUUUUUCUAGUAAGUUUUUUAUACGUUCUACAUUUAUCUAUCUUUCUAUACAUUUUCUUUCUCUCUUGCAACAAUAUCGGACUGUUGUUUUUUUACCUUAUUUGGCACAAAAAUAGAAGCAGCGCGUAGUCUUAUUUAAGUAGGAUGUGCUUGACUUAUCUAUACACAUCUAUACAGUUAUCUUUUAUACUGUCUUAAUUUUUUCGAUCUUUUGAAAGACAUAAGAUAUAUUUAAGUAAUCGCUUUCGUAAAAAGUAAUAUAGAUAUUUUCCUGAAAAUACGCCGGUUUUCGCACAACGUACAAUUUCAAUAUAAUCCCAUUUCGGAGAAACUGUCUGAUCAAACAUGACAUUAGGAAUUGUCUUAUCAGUAAGAAAAGUGCAAACUAUUAUUUUAACAUAUUAUUCACCGUUAUAUUACUUAAGGUCGUUUAGAAAAUUCUUAAGUUUCGAUCUAAGCUUGUGUUCAUACAAUUCUUGUAAUUUACUUUGCAUUUCAUCAGCCACUUUGCAGCUUUGCAGCUCACGUUAUCCAUACAUGCCAUAUUUUCAGAUUACAUGAAAUAUUUUGUUUCGCUAAAUAGAGAUGUCAUACAGAAGCAAUUAUGUCGAGAUGCCUGGAAUAUGCAACA
rnacentral:misc_RNA from 1 species